GAUGAACGCUAGCGGCAGGCUUAAUACAUGCAAGUCGAGGGGCAGCAGGGAUAGCAAUAUUCGCUGGCGACCGGCGCACGGGUGCGUAACACGUAUACAAUCUGCCUUUAACAGGGGGAUAGCCCGGAGAAAUCCGGAUUAAUACCCCAUAAUAAAUUGAAUGGCAUCAUUUGAUUUUGAAAGCUCCGGCGGUUAGAGAUGAGUAUGCGUCUGAUUAGCUAGUUGGUGAGGUAACGGCUCACCAAGGCGACGAUCAGUAGGGGAUCUGAGAGGAUUAACCCCCACACGGAUACUGAGACACGGAUCCGACUCCUACGGGAGCAGCAGUAAGGAAUAUUGGACAAUGCCCGCAAGGGUGAUCCAGCCAUGCCGCGUGC
rnacentral:rRNA from 1 species